UACAGAGGUCCCAAGCGUUGUUCGGAUUCACUGGGCGUAAAGGGUGCGUAGGCGGUCGGGUAAGUCUGAUGUGAAAUCUCACAGCUUAACUGUGAAACUGCAUUGGAUACUAUCCGGCUAGAGGAAUGGAGGGGAGACUGGAAUACUUGGUGUAGCAGUGAAAUGCGUAGAUAUCAAGUGGAACACCAGUGGCGAAGGCGAGUCUCUGGACAUUUCCUGACGCUGAGGCGCGAAAGCUAGGGGAGCAAACGGG
rnacentral:rRNA from 1 species